GACGAACGCUGGCGGCGUGCUUAACACAUGCAAGUCGAACGGAAAGGCCCUGCUUUUGUGGGGUGCUCGAGUGGCGAACAGGUGAGUAACACGUGAGUAACCUGCCCUUGACUUUGGGAUAACUUCAGGAAACUGGGGCUAAUACCGGAUAGGAGCUCCUGCUGCAUGGUGGGGGUUGGAAAGUUUCGGCGGUUGGGGAUGGACUCGCGGCUUAUCAGCUUGUUGGUGGGGUAGUGGCUUACCAAGGCUUUGACGGGUAGCCGGCCUGAGAGGGUGACCGGCCACAUUGGGACUGAGAUACGGCCCAGACUCCUACGGGAGGCGGCAGUGGGGAAUAUUGCACAAUGGGCGGAAGCCUGAUGCAGCAACGCCGCGUGCGGGAUGACGGCCUUCGGGUUGUAAACCGCUUUCGCCUGUGACGAAGCGUGAGUGACGGUAAUGGGUAAAGAAGCACCGGCUAACUACGUG
rnacentral:rRNA from 1 species